rnacentral:tRNA from 1 species
GGAGAUGGGGCUUACUUCUAGAGCACUUGCCUGGAAUGCAACAAGUUCUGGGUUUGAUCCUCAGCACUGCCA